AGCGAACGCUGGCGGCAGGCCUAACACAUGCAAGUCGAACGAACUCUUCGGAGUUAGUGGCGGACGGGUGAGUAACACGUGGGAACGUGCCUUUUGGUUCGGAAUAACUCAGGGAAACUUGUGCUAAUACCGAAUGUGCCCUUCGGGGGAAAGAUUUAUCGCCAUUAGAGCGGCCCGCGUCUGAUUAGCUAGUUGGUGAGGUAACGGCUCACCAAGGCGACGAUCAGUAGCUGGUCUGAGAGGAUGACCAGCCACACUGGGACUGAGACACGGCCCAGACUCCUACGGGAGGCAGCAGUGGGGAAUCUUGCGCAAUGGGCGAAAGCCUGACGCAGCCAUGCCGCGUGAAUGAUGAAGGUCUUAGGGUUGUAAAAUUCUUUCACCGGGGACGAUAAUGACGGUACCCGAAGAAGAAGCCCCGGCUAACUUCGUG
rnacentral:rRNA from 1 species